rnacentral:rRNA from 1 species
CCUACGGGAGGCAGCAGUGGGGAAUAUUGCGCAAUGGGCGAAAGCCUGACGCAGCGACGCCGCGUGAGGGAUGAAGGUCUUCGGAUCGUAAACCUCUGUCAGCAGGGAAGAACGGUCACUGUGCUAAUCAGCAGUGAAUUGACGGUACCUGCAAAGGAAGCACCGGCUAAUUCCGUGCCAGCAGCCGCGGUAAUACGGAGGGUGCGAGCGUUAAUCGGAAUUACUGGGCGUAAAGCGCUCGUAGGCGGUAUGUCAAGUCAAGGGUGAAAUCCCCGCGCUCAACGUGGGAACUGCCUUUGAAACUGGCAAGCUGGAGUGUGUGGGAGGAUAGUGGAAUUCCAGGUGUAGAGGUGAAAUCCGUAGAUAUCUGGAGGAACAUCGGUGGCGAAGGCGACUAUUUGGCACAUAACUGACGCUGAGGAGCGAAAGCGUGGGUAGCAAACAGGAUUAGAUACCCUUGUAGUC